AGGGGUCUGCAUGAGCAAGUGACAAAGAAAACAGCCGGCUUGGCAGAGGAUACGGCUUGGCAGAGGAUACUGCGGAGUCUUUGGCCACAGGGAUUUUACGAGACAAAGAGAGACAGAGAAACAGGAAGCUUGUAUUUUCUGCCAACCACCACGAGGCGAAUUUACUAGUGUAAAAGUAGGGUGACAUCUCAGGCCCAUCACAGUUCAUGUCACACCCUUUGAGUGUUGCUGCAUUUUGAACUAGGCAUCUCCCAGAGAAGUUUCUUUUUAGAAGAGAAUUUGUGCUGAACAAUUCAUCCCAAAGUGAUUCCUCCUCUAAUCCAACUGCUCCUGGACUGGAAACUGUCAAAGGAAUAAAAGAUCUGAUUCAAGGCCUGGC